AGCUUUGCGCAGUGGCAGUAUCGUAGUUUAUGAGGUUUAUCUGAGGCGCGAUUAUUGCUAGUUGAAAACUUUACCAAUACCCCGCCUGGACGACUUGAAAUGUGGUCGGCUAUGGCAAUGGCUAUGGUAAGAUGUUUAUGUG